rnacentral:rRNA from 1 species
AGAGUUUGAUCCUGGCUCAGGACGAACGCUGGCGGCGUGCCUAACACAUGCAAGUCGAACGGGACCAGGGGCAACUCUGGUUCAGUGGCGGACGGGUGCGUAACACGUGAGGAACAUGACUUUCGGCGGGGGAUAGCCGGCCCAACGGCCGGGUAAUACCGCGUACGACCUCUCGGGGACAUCCCCGGUUGGUGAAAGCAGCAAUGCACCGAAAGAGUGCCUCGCGGCCUAUCAGCUAGUUGGUGAGGUAACGGCUCACCAAGGCAACGACGGGUAGCUGGUCUGAGAGGAUGGCCAGCCACAUUGGGACUGAGACACGGCCCAGACUCCUACGGGAGGCAGCAGUGGGGAAUAUUGCGCAAUGGGCGAAAGCCUGACGCAGCGACGCCGCGUGUGGGAUGACGGCCUUCGGGUUGUAAACCACUGUCGGGAGGGACGAAUGCGCCGCAAGGCGAGUGACGGUACCUCCAAAGGAAGCACCGGCUAACUCCGUGCCAGCAGCCGCGGUA